UGAUGCCUACGGGGGGCAGCAGUGGGGAAUAUUGGGCAAUGGGCGCAAGCCUGACCCAGCAACGCCGCGUGAGGGAAUAAGGCCCUACGGGUCGUAAACCUCUUUUGCCGGGGAGCAAGGGCGGGGACGUGUCCCGGCCCGGAGAGUACCCGGAGAAAAAGCAUCGGCUAACUCCGUGCCAGCAGCCGCGGUAAUACGGAGGAUGCGAGCGUUAUCCGGAUUUAUUGGGUUUAAAGGGUGCGUAGGCGGGCUUUUAAGUCAGCG
rnacentral:rRNA from 1 species